CCAAGGAAGGCAGCAGGCGCGCAAAUUACCCAUUCCCGGCACGGGGAGGUAGUGACGAAAAAUAACGAUACGGGACUCAUCCGAGGCCCCGUAAUCGGAAUGAGUACACUUUAAAUCCUUUAACGAGGAUCAAUUGGAGGGCAAGUCUGGUGCCAGCAGCCGCGGUAAUUCCAGCUCCAAUAGCGUAUAUUAAAUUUGUUGCGGUUAAAAAGCUCGUAGUUGAAUCUGUGUGCUACGCAAUCGGUUCGCCGCUCGCGGUGUUACUGACUGACGGUGGUACGUCCUACCGGUGGAUGCGGUCGCGUGCUUCGGCGCGUGACGGUCCAAGAUGAAUCCCGUCGCGGUGCUCUUUACCGAGUGUCGAGGCGGGCCGGUACGUUUACUUUGAACAAAACUGAGUGCUCAAAGCAGGCAAGUGAAGCCUGGAAGAUCUGUGCAUGGAAUAAUGGAAUAGGACCUCGGUUCUAUUUUGUUGGUUUUCGGAAGCCCCGAGGUAAUGAUUAAUAGGGACAGAUGGGGGCAUUUGUAUUGCGACGUUAGAGGUGAAAUUCUUGGAUCGUCGCAAGACAAACUAAAG
rnacentral:rRNA from 1 species